AGCAGCCGCGGUAAUUCCAGCUCCAAUAGCGUAUAUUAAAGUUGUUGCAGUUAAAAAGCUCGUAGUUGAAUUUCGGGGUUAGCAGGUCGGUCGUGCCAUCGGUAUGAACUGGUCUCGCUGAUCCCUCCCUCUUGACGAACUGUGAUGCCAUUAAUUUGGUGUCGCAGGGAAUCAGGACUGUUACUUUGAAAAAUUAGAGUGUUUAAAGCAGGCUCACGCUUGAAUACAUUAGCAUGGAAUAAUGAAAUAGGACGUUUGAUCCUAUUUUGUUGGCUUCUAGGAUUGACGUAAUGAUUAAUAGGGAUAGUUGGGGGCAUUAGUAUUCAAUUGUCAGAGGUGAAAUUCUUGGAUUUAUUGAAGACUAACUACUGCGAAAGCAUUUGCCAAGGAUGUUUUCAUUAAUCAAGAACGAAAGUUAGGGGAUCGAAGACGAUCAGAUACCGUCGUAGUCUUAACCAUAAACUAUGCCGACUAGGGAUCGGAUGAUGUUAAUUUUUAAUGACUCAUUCC
rnacentral:misc_RNA from 1 species